AGAGUUUGAUCAUGGCUCAGGAUGAACGCUAGCGACAGGCUUAACACAUGCAAGUCGAGGGGCAGCGAGGGAGUGGCAACACUUCCGUCGGCGACCGGCGCACGGGUGAGUAACGCGUAUGCAACCUGCCCUUCACAGGGGGAUAACCGGGAGAAAUUCCGACUAAUACCGCAUACGUCCUCCGGGGCAUCCCGGGGAUGAAGAAUUAUCGGUGAAGGAUGGGCAUGCGCGAUAUUAGGUAGUUGGCGGGGCAACGGCCCACCAAGCCCACGAUAUCUAGGGGUUCUGAGAGGAAGGUCCCCCAGAUUGGUACUCGAGACACGGACCAAACUCCUACGGGAGGCA
rnacentral:rRNA from 1 species